rnacentral:rRNA from 1 species
CGCGUGAGAACCUGGCUUGAGGUGGGGGACAACAGUUGGAAACGACUGCUAAUACCCCAUAUGCCGAGGGGUGAAAGAUUUAUCGCCUUAAGGGGGGCUCGCGUCCGAUUACUUGUUGGUGGGGUAAUGGCCUGCCAAGGCGACAUCGGUAGCUGGUUUGAGAGGACGACCAGCCCACUGGGACUGAGACACGGCCCAACUCCUACGGGAGGCAGCAGUGGGGAAUUUUCCGCAAUGGGCGCAAGCCUGACGGAGCAACGCCGCGUGUGGGAUGAAGGCCUGUGGGUUGUAAACCACUUUUCUCAGGGACGAACACAAUGACGGUACCUGAGGAAUCAGCCUCGGCUAACUCUGUGCCAGCAGCCGCGGUAAGACAGAGGAGGCAAGCGUUAUCCGGAAUUAUUGGGCGUAAAGCGUCCGUAGGUGGUCUAGCAAGUCUGGGGUUAAAGCCCGGAGCCCAACUCCGGAUCGGCCUUGGAAACUGCCAGACUCGAGUAAGGUAGGGGUUGCGGGAAUUCCCGGUGUAGCGGUGAAAUGCGUAGAUAUCGGGAAGAACACCAGCGGCGAAAGCGCGCAACUGGGCCAUUACUGACACUGAGGGACGAAAGCUAGGGGAGCGAAUGGGAUUAGAUACCCCAGUAGUCCUAGCCGUAAACGAUGGUGACUAGAUGUGGCUCGUAUUGACCCGAGCCGUGUCGUAGCUAACGCGAUAAGUCACCCGCCUGGGGAGUACGCACGCAAGUGUGAAACUCAAAGGAAUUGACGGGGGCCCGCACAAGCGGUGGAGCAUGUGGAUUAAUUCGAUGCAACGCGAAGAACCUUACCAGGGCUUGACAUCCUGCGAACCCCGCUGAAAGGUGGGGGUGCCUUCGGGAGCGCAGAGACAGGUGGUGCAUGGCUGUCGUCAGCUCGUGUCGUGAGAUGUUGGGUUAAGUCCCGCAACGAGCGCAACCCGCGUCCUUAGUUGCCAGCAUUUAGUUGGGCACUCUGGGGAGACUGCCGGUGACAAGCCGGAGGAAGGUGCGGAUGACGUCAAGUCAGCAUGCCCCUUACUGCCCUGGGCGUCACACGUGCUACAAUGGCCAGCACAAAGGGUAGCCAGCCAGCGAUGGUGAGCCAAUCCCAUA